UGCAAAUGAUUUAGUAGGGAGGAUCAGUGCCACUCAGACACUCACAGGACUGUAUUAUAAACUGAAUCCUCAGUCAGUGUUUAUGUUCUGCUGCAGUGUAGAUAAAUAUCAUCUUAUUCUCUUCAUUUGACAGUUACAUGGUGAUAAUGGAAAUGUUACUUUAUGGAGUUCUCCUGAUGAUUAUUUCGACUGUUAGUGGUCAGUCUUUGACCUCCUCAGAUUCUGUGGUGAAAAGACCAGGAGAAUCAGUCACUCUGUCCUGCAGUGUGUCUGGAAUCUCAAUGAGCAGC